CGCAUGUCGGCUGAGCUCCCGCGGCGGGCAUAAUAAACAGCAAGUACUGGGGCACCUACUUACCCUAAAUCAGCCCGGGACCGGGUCAAACAAUACCGCUCACAAUGGGGAAGAAGGCGAAAAAGCUAAAAACCCUUACCGGGAACGGAUCCCGCGAUAUUGCUGACCUCCUUCAGCCGCGGCCUAGGCCCAAAAUGGCGCCACAAACAGACGCAUAUUAUACAUCCUCUGAGGAAGAACUCCUAGACGCACCUGACAACAUAUCCUGUUCAGGGAGCAUGAACAGCCCUCAAAGAGAGGAAGACCUAACAGCCCCAGCUACAAAAGGGGACAUCAAAGCUCUACUAACAAACAUAAGAGCCUUCUUAAAUGCAGAUUUGAAUAUCAUGCGUGAGGAUAUAACAGUGGUGACAGCAAGACUGCAGGCUAACGAGGAUGCCAUCACCUCCCUAGCCCAAAAGCAAGAAAGCACCAACGAGCACUUGCUCCUGCUCCAAGCAUCACACAAAAGCAUGCAGGUCAGACUGGACACCCAGGACGACGCAAGGAGGCAUAAUAAUCUUAAAAUCAGGGGCAUAGCCGAAUCAGUUACCGACCAGGAACUACCCCAUUUCUUACGCCGGCUGUGGACUACCCUACUACCACAGCGCUCUGCGAAGGGCAUUCAGGUAGAUGGCUG